rnacentral:tRNA from 1 species
CAGAGAAUAGUUUAAUAUAAAAUAUUAACUUUGGGAGUUAAUGAAAAGGAUAUUUCUUUUUUUCUGA